GCGCGAGGAGCGAGCCGCUUCUCCCCAUCACAGCGAUUCCCAGGGUUGUCAUAGAAACCACUCCCUGGGGCUUGGCAAAGCAGGAGCCCUCCGUGGCAGGGCUUCGGUGUCGGGGCUCCGAGGCUCCGGCCUGACUUCUCCACGGGGUCCACAGGAGCGUCUCCGGAUGCCAGGACCUGAAAUGGGCCGACCAGGAUGAGGAAACCACAGGCAGAGGCCGGGGAAGCAGCGCGGCAUCCCAUCCUCAGGCCUGCCCGGACGGUGUUCGGGAUCAAGAGGACCACACUCCAGCCCAGGACAAAAGCCCCACGGUAGCACAUUGUCCGGCAGGAGAGGAGCAGACCCACGUCCAAGAAGAUGGUUGUACCUUUCCACGCCUCUUCUCUGCGAAAUGAAGCCACACCAUGACACAAUCUUGAAGAGGAAGCCGGGAAUGGGAGACGGCAACAAUCCCUGUCCCUGGAACGCUGGCCUCUAUGGACAAGCCACCCGCUUCGCACCCCUCCCCUUAUGCCCGUGGCGGUGGCACGGCGCCGUAUCCUGCCUGGGCUCUGGCCUCUGCUCUGUCCUCCCUCUUCCACUGUCUCCCCUGUUUCUCAGCGGCCUAGAUGCCUCUUGGUCUGGCUGAAUAUCUUCUAUGAAGAUCACUUCCCCGUCCAUCAGGGAGACAAUUCCUGGAGAUUCGUGUCAUGACUGUUUCUCUCUCCAAACCUGUUUCUGCUGGAUUGCGCAGGUCUGAUGACCCUGGAGCUCUUGGCUUCCAUACGUGUCUCAGACAGAAUCAUCUCCCCUGCCCCACAAACAUGAAAGAAAAGACAAGAGAAGCACCCCAGAAGAGGAGGGGAGAAGUGCCCCAGAAAAAAUCAUCCAGUCUCUGAAGCUUUGCCCAGGAUCCAUUGCUGCAGCUUCCUGAAGUUGUGUCCGUUAAAAGGCAGGGACCCGGUGUCCAGGCUACAGAGGGUGACUCCAGGUUCCACACCACCACUGUGGACCAGUGUGCCUAUGGACUUAGGAGAGUUCCCAGAUCGCACAAGGGGGCUGCCCCAGAGGGUGUUCAGCUUGUUGCCAACAGUUGCUGAAGCCAAAGUCUGCAACCUUGAUGUUCAGGUCAAGUAGCCAGAAACAGGUGUUCUGGCUUUAGGUCCCUGUGGACAAUGCCAUUCUCUCCUUCCCAGGCUACUGAUGUCCUGGGUUGCUCCUCUUAUGGUAGAAGCUCAAGAUGGAAUGGCUGGAGCUUGGCUGCCUCCGGUUAGAGCCUGGGCUCUGUAUUGCAGACAUCACCUGGCAGAAUUCCUCAUGGGCCCCUUUUGUCGUGGGUGCGACUGCUGGGCCAGGGUUGUCGUGGGUAGUAAAGGUAUUUACCAAGACAACCGUGAGUAAAGAAAGGCAAAUUUAUUACAGAAACUAUGAAAAUACAUUGCAAGAAUGCAACAUGCAGCACAGCAGAGAAGGGGCUGUCUGCAAAGAUAAAGGGCUGGAGGGAAGUUUUCUAAGGUUGUGCUGGACGGCGCUAUGUGCAGGUGAGCUUGUGCUAUAUGCUAAGAAUAUGUUGGAAUAAUUUUAACUGCCAGACCUUUCCUCUUCUGGUGCCCGAGGGAAACGCCCUGCUGCUUUUAGCUGUCUUGUAACCCACACGCCUUUUCACUUCUGAAGUUGCAAGAAUAACGGCUGUGGUUUUUCACACAAAAGGGUUGCAGACUGGGUUAGGUCCCUGUUCCGCCAACCUGGCUGUUUCCCAGUUUCAGUUAACUUAGUGGUUUACUAGAGCCCCACACCUUUCUCUUUCAUAUGGCCAUGAUCCAGGAGGUAAUCCGUCACCUCCCCUCCACUAGAGUGCUCCAUGGCCAGGGAUAAUCCGUCACCUCCCCUCCACCAGAGUGCUCCAUGGCCAGGGGUAAUCCUCACCUCUCCUCCGCUAGAGUGUUCCAUGGCCAGGCAGUGUUUCCUGGGUCCAGAGCACCUCAAACAAUUUCAGUGUUGUGGUGACUCAGGGCCUUCACCAUACAGACUUGACAGCAUAGUCUAGAGGCUGGAGGGGCUCUGUGACUCCCAUUAAUGACAGUCACUGCCACGGUUUCCCCAGGCAGGAUGUGCCAGGAGAACUGCUCCAUGUUGGCUCAGCAGAAUGUUAUUAUAGGUAGCUCAAAAAGAGAGGGAACAGGGCUUCUCUAGAUUAUUUCAGGGAACGAGCUAUUAUUUGAAUGUUAAUUUAAGACUAUUUUAUCAAUUAAAAAUGUAAGGCCCAAGAAACUUCAGUGAGGAAGAAUGAACAAAUUGAAUAAAUACUGUUAAACUUU
rnacentral:lncRNA from 1 species